AAUUACACUUCCACCUGUUUCUUUCUUUAUUUUUUAACUUUCCCAACAUUUUCAUUUUCUCUUUGUUUUUUCCUUUCCCAGAUUGCAUCCCUUACCACUGUUGAGCAGAAUGAAGUAAUGGAAAUUUAGGGGCUGUACAGAGUAAAAGCCUCUUUUCUUGCUAUCAGUUUGUCCGUGGUGGUUGUUGUUCUUAUACAUGAUCUACCAUCUCGACUUUGUAUGUGCCGUGGUGGUUGUUGUUCUUAUACAUGAUUGAUCAUCUCGACUUUGUUGCAGCUUCCGUGCAUAAACUCUCUAUUUCUCUUGUUGUACAGUGUUUCCGUUAGUAGUCUCUGUUUGUUCUCCCUCUUGGACAUCUCAACGUAGGCUGGAAGCUGCAAAAAGAUAUGUGCCUGCUGUAGCUGUAUUACUUUCACCGUUUGCCGUUGGAGGUGCAGGAAUGCUAGCAUUGCUGACCGUUUUUAGAAUCUGAUUUAAUCCAGUAUAAGCAUAAGCUUAUGGGACUAAGGCUACUUGGGGCGCACUCUUGUUAUAGUAGUAGUCCGAUAAUGGGAUUACACUGGGCAUCUUGUUAUUACUGCUGUUGCAUCUGUUCAUUUUUCCAAAGAGAUGGUGCCUUGAUGAGGUUGUUUAAAAUUAUUUAUUUUUCAAUAAUAGUAAUCCCAGUACGGUCAUAAGGUUGAAUAGAUAUGUUGGCAACGCAUAAUGAGGCUUGAGAGUAAUCGUUGUAUAGUAACAAUAAUCUGAAAAGUAUCAUAAACUCCAUGAAUUAUGUAUUAGUCUUUUAUUUUAAAUAUGUGACAUAUGGUCAGAAUGAUGAUUGUACAUUUUCAGAUUGAGGAAAAAACUAGCUCUUUUUUUCCA